AGUAGGGAAUAUUGGGCAAUGGGCGAAAGCCUGACCCAGCAACGCCGCGUGAGGGAAGAAGGCCUUCGGGUUGUAAACCUCUGUCCUAUGGGACGAAGCAAGUGACGGUACCAUAGGAGGAAGCUCCGGCUAACUACGUGCCAGCAGCCGCGGUAAUACGUAGGGAGCAAGCGUUGUCCGGAAUUACUGGGCGUAAAGGGUGCGUAGGCGGUUAGUCAAGUCAAAUGUGAAAUAUCCGGGCUUAACCCGGGGACUGCAUCUGAAACUGGCUGACUUGAGUGCAGGAGAGGAAAGUGGAAUUCCUAGUGUAGCGGUAAAAUGCGUAGAUAUUAGGAGGAACACCAGUGGCGAAGGCGACUUUCUGGACUGUAACUGACGCUGAGGUACGAAAGCGUGGGAAGCAAACAGGAUUAGAUACCCUGGUAGUCCACGCUGUAAACGAUGGAUACUAGGUGUGGGUGGC
rnacentral:rRNA from 1 species